GACAGAGGUGCCGAGCGUUAGGCGGAAUCACUGGGCUUAAAGCGUGUGUAGGCGGAUGGGUAAGUACCUUGUGAAAUCCCACGGCUCAACCGUGGAACUGCUCGGUAUACUGCUCGUCUUGAGCCAACUAGGGGCGACCGGAACAAACGGUGGAGCGGUGAAAUUCGUAGAUAUUCGGAAGAACACCAGUGGCGAAGGCGACUCGCUGGACAGGUAUUGACGCUGAGGUGCGAAAGCGUGGGGAGCAAACAGG
rnacentral:rRNA from 1 species